rnacentral:rRNA from 1 species
UGGGGAAUAUUGGACAAUGGGCGAAAGCCUGAUCCAGCAAUGCCGCGUGGGUGAAGAAGGUUUUCGGAUUGUAAAGCCCUUUCGGCGGGGACGAUGAUGACGGUACCCGCAGAAGAAGCUCCGGCUAACUUCGUGCCAGCAGCCGCGGUAAUACGAAGGGGGCUAGCGUUACUCGGAAUGACUGGGCGUAAAGGGCGCGUAGGCGGUUCGGACAGUCAGAUGUGAAAUUCCUGGGCUCAACCUGGGGACUGCAUUUGAUACGUCCGGGCUUGAGUGUGGAAGAGGGUUGUGGAAUUCCCAGUGUAGAGGUGAAAUUCGUAGAUAUUGGGAAGAACACCGGUGGCGAAGGCGGCAACCUGGUCCAUUACUGACGCUGAGGCGCGAAAGCGUGGGGAGCAAACA